AACAGGAUUAGAUACCCUGGUAGUCCACGCCGUAAACGAUGAGUGCUAGGUGUUGGGGGUUUCCGCCCUCUGUGCCGAAGGUAACCCAAUAAGCACUCCGCCUGGGGAGUACGGCCGCAAGGCUGAAACUCAAAGGAAUUGACGGGGGCCCGCACAAGCGGUGGAGCAUGUGGUUUAAUUCGAAGCAACGCGAAGAACCUUACCAGGUCUUGACAUCCCGCUGAUCGGUGUAGAGAUAUGCCUUUCCUUCGGGACAGCGGUGACAGGUGGUGCAUGGUUGUCGUCAGCUCGUGUCGUGAGAUGUUGGGUUCAGUCCCGCAACGAGCGCAGCCCUUGUCGUCAGUUGCCAGCACGUAAAGGUGGGCAUUCUGGCGAGACGGCCGGUGAAAGCCGGAGGAAGGUGGGGAUGACGUCAAAUCAUCAUGCCCCUUAUGACCUGGGCUACACACGUGCUACAAUGGCCGGUACAACGGGUAGCGAACCCGCGAGGGGGAGCCAAUCCAAAAAACCGGUCUCAGUUCGGAUCGCAGGCUGCAACUCGCCUGCGUGAAGCUGGAAUCGCUAGUAAUCGCGGAUCAGCAUGCCGCGGUGAAUCCGUUCCCGGGCCUUGUACACACCGCCCGUCACACCACGAGAGUCUGCAACACCCGAAGUCGGUGAGGUAACCUUCAGGAACCAGCCGCCGAAGGUGGGGCAGAUGAUUGGGGUGAAGUCGUAACAAGGUAACC
rnacentral:rRNA from 1 species